rnacentral:lncRNA from 1 species
GGACAAUUGGUGUAUGUGCAUACAGUAGAAUCUAAUUUAUCCAUAAAAGGAAUAAAAUAAUAAAGUAGGCUAAAAAAUUAAUGAACCUUCAAAUCUUUGUUAAAUGAAAGAAAUAGAUUACAAAUCACCACAUAUGAUAUCAGUCUUAUGAAAUAUCUAGAAAAGGGAAAAUAUACAAAGAUAGAACAUAGAGCAGUAGUUGUUUAGGGCUGGGAGAAUGAGGGGUAAGAGGAAUGCUAACUAAAGUGUACAGAGUUUAUUUUGGAAAUCACAAAAAUAUUUUAAAAUUCACUUGUGAUAGAUGCACAAUUCUGUAAAUACAUUACAAUCAUUGAUUAUACACAUGAAUUUUAUGUAUGUGAAUGUGUUGAUUAGCUUUCCAUUACUAUGACAAAAAACCUGAGAAAAUAAGCAUAAAGGAGAAAAGAAUUACUUUGGCUAUGGUUUUAGAUGUUUCAGUCCAUGGUCACUUGGCCCCAUUUCUAUGGGCCUUUGGUAAGGCAGAACAUCAUGAUGCAGAGCAUGUGGCACAACAGAGCUGCUUGCCUCAUAGUGGCCAGAAAGUAGAGAGAUGAGGGAAGGGGUCAGGGACAAGAUAUACCCUGCCAGCGCAUGCCUCCAGUGCUUUCCUUCCUCCCACUAUGCCCCACCUUCUACAAUUUCCAACACCUCCCAAUGGUGUAUUCAAUUAUGAACCCAUCAAUGGAUUAAUCGACUGAUGAGGCCAGAGCCCUUAUGACCUAAACACUUCCCAAAAGUUCUACCUCUGAUUAUUGCUGGCUUAGGGCGACAUUACAGAUCCAUAAUAUAACAGAAUACAUCUUUAAAAAAAAAACUGCUUAAAAAGUAAAGUAUUUAAAAAGAAAAAUUGCUUGAGUAUGAUAAGGAGAGGAUGUUACAAAGGGAGUCAAUGCAUUUUUUGAAAAUGAGAAUCCUGUGAAGAAGAGGUAAGUAACUUAGUAAGCAGAAAAAACAUCUGAAAACCAAUUACCACAAAAUCCCAGAAGACAUGUGACCAGGUGGUACCAAAUUGGAAAGAAAAUAGGAGUUAUAUGAUGUAAACAUAGUUUCUUAAAAUUUUGGCUCUUUGGUUUUACGUUGUGUAUCAUUAAAAAAUAUAUAUGUUUUGUUCUCUUCCCUAGUAUUUUGUAAAACUCUACUGAAAUAUUAGUUGCUUUACAUGUGAGAAAGAAUCCUAGGUCCAUGGUAGAACCUGAGACAAGUAUUUUAAAGCGGGUACUGAGCAUUACUGAGGGUCGGGUGCAGUGGGAACAGUUGAGGGAAUUUAAAAUCUCAAAGGUUAAAUAUGAGAACAACAUAGUUGGUAGUCCAUUUGAAAAAUAUCGCUAUGAAAGUAAUUAAACUUGCAGAAAAGUUGCACAAAUGGGAAAAUAGUGUACCUGCUAUACAGAUUUACCUAUUGUUAAUAUUUUGAUCCAUUAGCAAUCUCUCAUUUUAUGUAUGACAUAUAUCCACAAAAAAUACACAUUUAUUCCAGAAUAUUUGAGAAUAUAGGUCAUAUAGGUAGUUUUUCUUAAUAUUUCAUCACAUAUUAAGAAUUAUCCCCUUUGGUAAAUUUAACUGGCAUAAAAUUUUAAGCUGAUAUCUCAUCCAUAUUUCAUUUGUUUGUGUCAGUUUAUCCAGUAGUAUCUAGCUUUAUUUUUAUUUUAAAUCUAUAUUACAAAAUCAUGUGUAUAAGCAUGCAUUGCAUUUAGUUGCUGUGUGUCUUUAGUCUCCUUUAAUCUGGAAAAGUUUCUUAGCCUUUAUUUUUAUACACCAUUUCUGAAGAAUACAUUCUAUGUGCCAUUUUUUUUAUUAACCCCUUCACAUCUGGAAAUAUUUGGUGAAGGUUAUCUUGCUCAGAUAUUAAAGGAUGUUUUUACAUUUCUCAGUCCUGGGACUUCAGGGCUGCAGCACUAGAUUUGUAUAGACAAACAACAAUCCCAAAGGCUCUAUGGAGGCAUUUUCCUGAAGAGCACAGAUCUCCUGUGGUCAAGGGAGGGUAGAUAAGAGGAGGCAGUCUUGAAGCAGACAAUGGAGAAGCUGUGGAUACAGAAGACAAGCAGAGAAAGGGGCUGUCAUUACUGGAAAGCCCUCAUCAAACAGGAAAGGAAAGGAGAGGGUGUCAUGGGACCAAGGCAGAUACAUCAGACUCAGUGGGGAAACAGGCAAGAAAUGGAAGGAAGUGACACAUGGUUUAUUUUCAGCUGUUUAUAAUCUAAAGAACAGAGCUUUGGGGGUUAUAAAUGUUAAGCAUCUAACACAGGAAGAUAACACAAACAUAUAAAUAACAUCAGCAUAAGCGACAUCUUGUUUUAAAAAUAUAGAAGGGGUCUGGGGCAUUGCUCAGUGAUAGAGCACUUGCCUAGCAUGUUUGAGGUCCUGGAUUUGAUCCCCAGCACAAAACAAAAUAAAAAACCAAACCCCAAAACAAAAAAAAAUAUAUAAAAGAACCAAUCGGCCUGUUAGUGAGAAGAAAAUGGAUGGAAAAACUUAUCAUAAAGCCUUUUAUGGAGGAAGUAACUAUAGGUGUGCUUCAAAACAAAGACUUUGCUAAGUAUAAUUUCAGUUAUGCUCACAAGAGGUAAUAUAAUGAUAAAAAGAAGCCUACUUCCUAAAUCAGGAUGGUUUUGGUGUGCAGGUUAUUGUCCAGCACAAUUGUUCUGUGAAAUUGAGGCAGAUUUUAAAAUGUUGAGGAAAGGACAGAGGGGAUUUGGUACAACAGUGAAGGAGUAGCAGGGUGGACAUUGUGUGGAUAGAAGGAGCUGUAGUGAGAGCUUUUAAAAGCAGAAUAGCUUACUAGGGAUUUGGGCAGAAAGAAUUACUAAACAGUGUUUAAGUUGUUUGCUAUGGGUGUGCCAUACCUGUGUCUUCCUCCUAUCUUGCCUUUUAUUUCUUAGUUCGGAUGACUGUGGACUAAAACACUUUUUAUGGUUUUUUUUUUUGGUAAACAUGGAUCUCUUAGAAUAUAUAUGCUGCUGAGUAUAUGUUUAGCUUCAUACAUUUCAAAAAAGGGAAAAAAAAGCAUUGUGUUUUGGAGGAAGCUAUAGUUGAAGACACAGUAGAUUUUGUGGGCAUGUGAGGUUUUCAAAGGUUAUAUGUUUUUCAGAGAGAGAUCAUCAAGCAGAAAAAGGGUCUCUUGUAAUAUCUAGGUAGCAGGUGCAAUAAAUAUAAAAUGUUGUUGAGGUAAAUAUAUGGUAUAGUGAAAGAUGUGGUUGGAAAGUACGGGCAGAGGGAUCCAAAGGGCACCUGAGGGUAGACAGAUCAAUUGUGCUUAGUAAUGGGGUGGUCGAGGCAUAUGGGCUCUUCUCCCAUAGGUUUUGGCCACCUCUCCCCAAAGCCUCUAGUGUUGUGUUGAAGUUCUGGGAUGUAGGCCUGGACCUGGGGUCUAGAAAGGGCACAUACUCUCAGUCCCCAGUUUCUGGUGGUGGACUACUUCUUUGUCCAGGGAGACUUGCUAAGCUCUAGCUUGUCCUUUUAUUUUCCUUUCUUUUAUCUUUAUGGUGCUGGGGAUCAAGCCUAGGGGCUAGUUUACUUUCUGAAAAUUCCUAUUCUUGUGUUGGCUGGCUCUCAUCCUUCUGUCCUUAUGCUACCUGUGGAGGAAUCUAUGUUUCUCCAUGUUUUGGAAACAGAUAUUAAUAAGGUAAGCAAAGCACAACUGCACAGAGAUUUUAGAUGUUUUUAUAACUUUUAAAAAGUUUAUUCUAAUUUGUUAUAUAUGACAGCAGAAUGCAUUGCAGAUUCAUAUUUCACAUAUAGAGCACAAUUUUUCAUAUCUCUGGUUGUACACAAAGUAGAGUCACACCAUUUGUGUCUUCAUACAUGUACUUGGGGGUAAUGAUGUCCAUCUCAUUCCACCGUCUUUUUUUCUUUUUAAUAUGUACAUUUAAUGCUAUAAGUUUCCCUUUAAGCACUGCAUUUUCUGCAUGCCACGUAUUUUUAAUGCUGUAUUAAAUUUUUUUUAUUGUAAUUGAACACAAUACCUUUAUUUUUAUUUGUUUUUAUUUUUAUGUGGUACUGAGGAUGGAACCCAGAGCCUCGCAUGUGCUAGGCGAGCGCUCUACCACUGAGCCACAGCCUCAGCCCCUAAUGCUGUAUUUUUAUUUUUUUUAAUUUAAAAUAUUUAUCUUGAUAAUUCUUUUUUUAACAUUUUUUUUAUUUGCUUUAAUUAGUUACACAUGACAGUACAAUGAUCUUGACAUAUCAUACAUUUGAAUCAGAUGGGAUAUAAUUUCUCAUUUUUCUGAGUGUACAGGUUGCAGAAUUACAUUGGUCAUGCAGUCACGUAUAUACCCACAGCAAUAAUAAUGUCUAUUUCAUUCUACUGUCCUUCUUUUCCCCCCUUCCCCUGCCCUCCCCUCCCAUCACUUCUGUCUACCCAAUCUAAUGUGACCCACUUUUUUUUUCCUCACUUGAUAAUUCUUUUUUGAUCCAUGUGCUAAAAGUAUGUUGUUUAGUCUCCAAAUAUUUUGGGAUUUCACAGCUCUUUUUCUGUUUUUGAUUUCUGUUUUUAUCCCAUUGAGGUCUGAGAGCAGACAUUGUAUUGUUUCUAUUUUUUUUUUCAGUUAUGGGGAAUUUCUAUUAUUUUAUAGUUGUUAAGGUGUGUUUUAUGGAUCAGAAUAUGAUCUAUCUUGGUAAAUAUUCCAUGGGAACUUUGAGAUAAAUGUAUAUUCAUUCCAUUGCUGGGUAAAUUAUUUCAAUGUUAGUUGGAUCAAGUUAAAUGAUGGUGUUCCUCAAGUCAAAGAUAUUCUUGAUGAUUUUCCUACCUGCUAAAUCUGUCAAUUAAUGAAAGGGAGGUGUUGAAGUCUUCAACAUUACUAGUGAAUUCAGCUGUUUCUCAUUGCAGUUUUUGUCUUAUAUAUUUUGAUACUCUUUUAAAAUAUAUACAUCUUAAAGAUUAUUGUGUCUUCUGGGAGAAUUGACCCUUCCCUUUGUUAUUAUGGAAUUCCCUUUUCAUCCCUGAUAAUUUUUCUUAUUUUGAAGGCUGAUUUGUCUGAAACUAAUAAGACUACGUCUGUUUUCUGUUAGAUUAGUGUUAGAAUAAUACAUUUUAUACAUCCCUUUAUUUUUAGUUUAUUUGUGUCAUUAUAUUUAAUGUAUCUUGUAGGUGACAUUUAAAAAAUUUUUUAAAACUUUUUUGAAAUGGGGUCUUACUAUGUUGCUCAGGCUGACCUCCAACUCCUGGACUCAAGUGAUCUUCCUGCCUCCAUCUCUUGAGUAGUUUGGACUGAAGGUGUAUGUCAUCAUAUCCAGCUAGCAAUCUUGUUUAUUUUAUUUUUAUUUUAUUCGAUCCAUUCUCAUAGUCUGUCUUUUAAUUAGUGAAUUUAUUUAAAUCACUUUAAAAGUGAUUUUUAAAAUGAAGUUAUAUAUUUGGAUUAUAGCCAUUAUACCUUCAACAGUUUAUUAUUCAUUGUAUCUACUCUUUAUUUUUCUUCCCAUUUUUUGAAUUGAUUUUAAACAAGAC